ACAGGAAGGCAUUUCAAUUCAAAUAUAGCAUCCAGCAGUAAUAAUGGGGGCAAUCAAAUGCACAUGAGAUUAAAUGUUUCCAAAAGACUUUAAAACCAGGAGCCUUGGGAUCAAAAGCCAGUUACUAAACCACUGUCCCAUCAGACUGACUGCCCUGAGGUUUUAUCCUGGAUUAAAGAGCACCGAUCAUAAUAAUUAUAAGAUAAUUUAAUUACUGCAUGAAGACCAUAUUUACCAUAAAGACACAUCAUACUAUGAAUAAUUCAGAAAUUGAAUGUUGAAAUGGAAAUGAAUCCUUUUUAUGUUUUCAUUGUUGUGUGUACAACAGUUUGUGAGACGUGUGAAACACUACUAGAGAUGAAUUCAAAGAAAGAGCCCAGCGGGCACUGAAAACUCAUCUGAAGAAGAGGUUUGAAUGCAUAUUUGAAGUUUUAGCAAAGCAGGGC